rnacentral:rRNA from 1 species
GGCUCAGAUUGAACGCUGGCGGCAUGCCUUACACAUGCAAGUCGAACGGCAGCGGACCUUCGGGUGCCGGCGAGUGGCGAACGGGUGAGUAAUAUAUCGGAACGUACCUUUCAGUGGGGGAUAACGUAGCGAAAGUUACGCUAAUACCGCAUAUUCUGUGAGCAGGAAAGCAGGGGAUCGCAAGACCUUGCGCUGAUUGAGCGGCCGAUAUCAGAUUAGCUAGUUGGUGAGGUAAAGGCUCACCAAGGCGACGAUCUGUAGCGGGUCUGAGAGGAUGAUCCGCCACACUGGAACUGAGACACGGUCCAGACUCCUACGGGAGGCAGCAGUGGGGAAUUUUGGACAAUGGGCGCAAGCCUGAUCCAGCCAUGCCGCGUGAGUGAAGAAGGCCUUCGGGUUGUAAAGCUCUUUCGGCCGGGAAGAAAUCGCACAGGUUAAUACCCUGUGUGGAUGACGGUACCGGAAUAAGAAGCACCGGCUAACUACGUG